UACGUAGGGUGCGAGCGUUAAUCGGAAUUACUGGGCGUAAAGCGUGCGUAGGCGGUUCGUUAAGUUCGUUGUGAAAGCCCCGGGCUCAACCUGGGAAUGGCAAUGGAAACUGGCGGGCUGGAGUAUGGCAGAGGGGGGUGGAAUUCCGCGUGUAGCAGUGAAAUGCGUAGAGAUGUGGAGGAACACCGAUGGCGAAGGCAGCCCCCUGGGGUAACACUGACGCUCAUGCACGAAAGCGUGGGGAGCAAACAGG
rnacentral:rRNA from 1 species